UUCCAAGGUGAUCCCCUCUCCAAACAGCCAGCUAGUGCUCCCCAACCUCCCAGAAACAUAGCAACUCAGGAUAAAAUCUGGUAUGCCCAAGGUCUGUGAGGGUAAAGUGAUGUUUUCUUUUGACUUACGACUGCCUACAUAU
rnacentral:snoRNA from 1 species